rnacentral:rRNA from 1 species
UGAGGAAUAUUGGGCAAUGCCCGCAAGGGUGACCCAGCAACGCCGCGUGGAGGAUGAAUGUCGUAAGAUUGUAAACUCCUGUUAGAGGGGAAGAAUAGUACCGGUUGGACCGGUAUAUGACUGUACCCUCAGAGAAAGCCCCGGCUAACUACGUGCCAGCAGCCGCGGUAAUACGUAGGGGGCAAGCGUUGUCCGGAUUUACUGGGUGUAAAGGGCGCGCAGGCGGGAUAAAAAGUCAGUGGUGAAAUCCUACAGCUCAACUGUAGAACUGCCUUUGAUACUUUUAUUCUUGAGUUCGGGAGAGAGAGACGGAAUUCCAGGUGUAGUGGUGAAAUACGUAGAUAUCUGGAAGAACACCAGUUGCGAAGGCGGUCUCUUGGUCCGACACUGACGCUGAGGCGCGAAAGCGUGGGGAGCAAACA